rnacentral:rRNA from 1 species
UACGUAGGGGGCAAGCGUUGUCCGGAAUCAUUGGGCGUAAAGCGCGUGUAGGCGGUUACGUAAGUCUGCUGUGAAAGUCGGAGGCUCAACCUUCGAAAGCCGGUGGAUACCGCGUGACUAGAGUCCGGAAGAGGAGAGUGGAAUUCCUGGUGUAGCGGUGAAAUGCGCAGAUAUCAGGAGGAACACCAACGGCGAAGGCAGCUCUCUGGGACGGUACUGACGCUGAGACGCGAAAGCGUGGGGAGCAAACAGG